ensembl:lncRNA novel transcript
CUUCUCCAGGGAAGUCCCAGGACUGGAAAGAAGAACCUGGCGAAGCUAGCAAGCACGACCAGGCCGAGGAUCCAACAUGGAAGCCCGCGAAGCCCACAGUGGGUGGCGAGCGACAGGGGGAGGGGCGGGGACUCACUGGGUCCCCCCAAGCCGGGUUUAACCUGUCCACGAUCGGCGGGGCAAGGGGUCACGAGGGUGAGACAGCACUCCUGCUGCGGUGUGGAGGGGCAGACAGGUAAGCCCCAGGCCACCUGCCUGGGCACCGCUCCGCGCUCGCGCUCCCGCUCCCCCCGAGUCCCCCGCUCGCCCCAGACAGACCCACCCCUGAGGCAGCCCCUGGCCCGACCCUGGCCCGUCUCGCCGCCCACCAGUCGGUCGGGGACUUCUCGGUGACCACCCGCACGUAGGCCUCUUGCAGCGCUGGCCCGUUCCGGCUCAGGUUCGCCGCCAUGGCCCGCCCCGCAGUCUCCGCGCCGCUGCUGUAGCUUCCGGGCCGGGCCGGGCCGCCCCUUUGACAGCCGACAAGCCUCGCCUCCGACAACCGGAAACCCCGCCCCACGGCAGGAAGCGGAAAUGGUAGGGGCCAGCCGCACCCGCGGGUCCUAGCGAGCUGUCCGGCCAGCUGGUCUAGCAUGCAGGUCCCGCGAAUGCCGAAGGACAAGCGGGAGAAGGGAGGACCCGGCCUUCUGUUUGUCCUCAGGGAGGGAUCCUGGGGCGCAGACUAGCCCGUCUUCUGGUCCCACCCAAACGGCAGCUCGACUUGGAAGCCUGGCCGCAGGGACCCAGUCCAGCCCCCGCUAGCUGCUCUCACAGCACCGUGCUUAUUCUUUUCUAAAUCUUGUUAUGUCGAUGCGCUUAUUUGAACGAUCUUGGGUUCACUGCAGUCUCCCUCCAGACGAGGUCUUCAGCCUGUUUGUGGACCCUCAACAGUUUGAUCUGUGAAAGAAACAUGCAUAAAUGUAUGAAUACACGAAUAAAUGAGUGCUAAGUGACGAUCACACCGCUACAAACCUAACUGAAAGUGACUGUGCUUUCUCACUCUCACCUGAGUUUUUCCCUCUGCAGUUUGGUCGAGGCCAGGAUAGUGGAGGCAUGAAGAGAACCUGUCUUGUGCUUCACCUGCACAUCUGGCUGGUCGCCCCUAGAAGGUGUCAGUAAUUCCUCAAUCUGCUCCCCUCCUCCUGGGAGCACCAGUUUUUCCAUCCACAAAUCUGCAUACACUUGACUGAACUAGCUUCUUAUCUGUAUGAUAGAGAAACAUGCCAAAGCGCAAGGCAGCUCACGGCUUAUUUCCUCCCAUGGAGAAUAACUCCCCUGCCUCCUUAAAAUAUAAAUCCUGCCGGGCACGGUGGCUCACGCCUGUAAUCCCAGCACUUUGGGAGGCCGAGGUGGACGAAUCAAGGGGUCACGAGAUCGACACCAUCCUGGCUAAUACGAUGAAACCCCGUCUCUACUAAAACAAAAAAUUAGCCAGGCGUGGCGGCGUGCGCCUGUAGUCCCAGCUACUCGGGAGGCUGAGGCAGGAGAAUGGCGUGAACCAGGGAGGCAGAGCUUGCACUGAGCCGACAUAGCGCCACUGCACUCCAGCCUGGGCUACAGGGCGGGACUCUGUCUCAAAAAAA